rnacentral:rRNA from 1 species
UACGAAGGGUGCAAACGUUGCUCGGAAUCAUUGGGCGUAAAGCGCACGUAGGCGGCAUUCUAAGUCGGAUGUGAAAUCCCUCGGCUCAACCGAGGACGUGCAUCCGAAACUGGAACGCUCGAGUAUGGAAGAGGGUCGCGGAAUUCUCGGUGUAGAGGUGAAAUUCGUAGAUAUCGGGAGGAACACCAGUGGCGAAGGCGAGUCUCUGGACAUUUCCUGACGCUGAGGCACGAAAGCCAGGGGAGCAAACGGG